AAUGAACGUUGGCGGCGUGGAUUAGGCAUGCAAGUCGAGCGGACGGAGGAGCUUGCUCCAAAGUUAGCGGCGGAAGGGAUAGUAACGCGUAGAUAACCAACCCCUCGGUCAGGGAUAGCCGUUGGAAACGACGGGUAAUACCUGAUAACAUCCCCGGAUCAAAGGUGAGAUUCCGCCGGGGGACGGGUCUGCGUCCUACUAGCUAGUUGGUGAGGUAACGGCUCACCAAGGCGACGAUGGGUACCGGGCGUCAGAGCGUGACCCGGAUCACUGGGACUGAGACACUGCCCAGACACCUACGGGUGGCUGCAGUCGAGAAUCUUCGGCAAUGGACGAAAGUCUGACCGAGCGACGCCGCGUGUGUGACGAAGGCCAUUUGCGUUGUAAAGCACUAUCGUUUGGGAGGAAGUGUACGGGGGCUAUCCCCUGUACUUGACCUAUCUUAGGAAGAAGGACGGGCUAAGUUCGUGCCAGCCGCCGCGGUAAGAC
rnacentral:rRNA from 1 species